ACUGUUUUCUUUCUCAUCAGGUGAGGUAGUUUGACUGACUUGAUUCUUUCAAGCAAAAGGACAAUGGGAAAUAAACCUGGGUGUUCAGCAUAAAAAGAGCUAAUGACAAAGCUAUUUUUAGGGAAAGAGACUUCUUGUCUUUCCUAUGUUAUUCUUUGAGUCUCUUUGAUAUCUCUAUUUUCUGGCUCUAUCUUUAAAAGACAGCUGCAUAAAUCAGAAUAGGAAAACUGGCUUCUGCACCUGGAGGGAGGAUGAAAGGGAAUAGGAAAUGAGGAAAGUGGAAGGGAAGAAUAAGGGACCCCUGGAGAGUCCCUACUAAGCCAGACAUAAUAAACAACAGUCCUCUGCUACUGGGAAAGUCAGAACACAGAAGCCAUCAGGGGAAGAAAACGAUGCUGCUGCUCUUGAUGCCUCAAAAACGGCAAGGAAGAUUCCAGGCAAAUGAUGUGCACAUGCUUGGAACAAAUCUGCUCCAGAAGUACAAGCCACACACUUCAAAUUCAUGGAAUAAAUGGAAGGUUCACUGACUUUCCAGGACUUUUUAGGAAGAAAGCUGCAAGUGGAGUCUGAGGUCUGUCAUUUCUAUAGAAGCAGCUGGAGAUAUUGGGAAAAUGGGCCAGGACUGUGGCUUCUCCAGACAGCGACAAAGCAAGACAUGAAUCUUCCUCUGCUCCAAAUCUUAGCCCCUCACAGGUCCCUGCCCAAAUAACAAAUGCAUAAAUUCUUUUUUUCACUUCUGCUAUUG